rnacentral:rRNA from 1 species
UAAUACAGAGGGUGCGAGCGUUAAUCGGAAUUACUGGGCGUAAAGCGUGCGUAGACGGUUAUGUAAGUCGGGUGUGAAAGCCCCGGGCUCAACCUGGGAAUUGCAUUCGAGACUGCAUAGCUAGGGUGCGGAAGAGGGAAGCGGAAUUUUCGGUGUAGCGGUGAAAUGCGUAGAUAUCGGAAAGAACAUCAGUGGCGAACGCGGCUUCCUGGUCCAGCACCGACGUUCAGGCACGAA